rnacentral:rRNA from 1 species
AUUGAACGCUGGCGGCAGGCCUAACACAUGCAAGUCGAGCGGAUGAAGGGAGCUUGCUCCUGGAUUCAGCGGCGGACGGGUGAGUAAUGCCUAGGAAUCUGCCUGGUAGUGGGGGAUAACGUCCGGAAACGGGCGCUAAUACCGCAUACGUCCUGAGGGAGAAAGUGGGGGAUCUUCGGACCUCACGCUAUCAGAUGAGCCUAGGUCGGAUUAGCUAGUUGGUGGGGUAAAGGCCUACCAAGGCGACGAUCCGUAACUGGUCUGAGAGGAUGAUCAGUCACACUGGAACUGAGACACGGUCCAGACUCCUACGGGAGGCAGCAGUGGGGAAUAUUGGACAAUGGGCGAAAGCCUGAUCCAGCCAUGCCGCGUGUGUGAAGAAGGUCUUCGGAUUGUAAAGCACUUUAAGUUGGGAGGAAGGGCAGUAAGUUAAUACCUUGCUGUCUUGACGUUAUCAACAGAAUAAGCACCGGCUAACUUCGUG